UACGGGGGGGGCAAGCGUUGUCCGGAAUUAUUGGGUGUAAAGGGUGCGUAGGCGGAAUGGUAAGUCAGAAGUGAAAUGCUCGCGCUUAACGCGGGUACUGCUUUUGAUACUGCUGUUCUUGAGUUCAGAAAAGGGAAGCGGAAUUCUCGGUGUAGCGGUGAAAUGCGUAGAUAUCGAGAAGAACACCAGUAGCGAAAGCGGCUUCCUGGUCUGUAACUGACGCUGAGGCACGAAAGUGUGGGUAGCAAACAGG
rnacentral:rRNA from 1 species